UCAAGAUAUGGGCAUUCCUGGGUUAAAAGUUCUCUUCAGAAGGGGCUGAGGAGGAUGGAAAAUGAAGACUCUCCCAAAGGGUGGAACCAAGAGCUGUGGAGGACAAGGACACCAGAGCCACUCCCAGUGAACAGAACCACAGCCUAAUCAAGGAACAGACUCUAUCACAAAAUCAAGAGGAGCUGGAUCAAGCCUCAGGUAGAACAUGAGGUGCUGGACUUUAAGAAUGAUGACAGGAUGGAUGAAGAAACAGAGACACCAUGAAGAUAAGACUGAUAUGGUUUGGAUCUGUGUCCCCACUCAAAUCUCAUCUUUAAUUUUAAUCCCCAUGUGUUGAAGAAGGGACGUGACGGGAGGUGAUUGGAUCAUGGGGGCAGUUUCCACCAUGCUGUUCUCGUGAUAGUGAAUGAGUUCUUACGAGAUCUGAUGGUUUAAAAGUGUGACACUUUCCCUCUCACCCCUCCCUCUCUCUCUCCUGCUGCCUUGUGAAGAAGGUGCUUGCUUUUCCUUCACCUUUUGCCACAACUGUAAGUUUCCCGAGGCCUCACAGCCAUGCAGAACUGUGAGUCAAUUAAAUCUCUUUUAUUUAUAAAUUACCCAGUCUCAAAUAGUUCUUUAUAGCAAUGUGAAAAUGGUCUAAUAAAAUGACUUUUUAAAAA
rnacentral:lncRNA from 10 species